rnacentral:rRNA from 1 species
UACAGAGGUCUCAAGCGUUGUUCGGAUUCAUUGGGCGUAAAGGGUGCGUAGGCGGCGCGGUAAGUCGGGUGUGAAAUCUCGGGGCUUAACUCCGAAACUGCAUUCGAUACUGCCGUGCUUGAGGACUGGAGAGGAGACUGGAAUUUACGGUGUAGCGGUGAAAUGCGUAGAUAUCGUAAGGAAGACCAGUGGCGAAGGCGGGUCUCUGGACAGUUCCUGACGCUGAGGCACGAAGGUCGGGGGAGCAAACGGG